rnacentral:rRNA from 1 species
AAUGGGUCAGCGACUUAUAUUCUGUAGCAAGGUUAACCGAAUAGGGGAGCCGAAGGGAAACCGAGUCUUAACUGGGCGUUAAGUUGCAGGGUAUAGACCCGAAACCCGGUGAUCUAGCCAUGGGCAGGUUGAAGGUUGGGUAACACUAACUGGAGGACCGAACCGACUAAUGUUGAAAAAUUAGCGGAUGACUUGUGGCUGGGGGUGAAAGGCCAAUCAAACCGGGAGAUAGCUGGUUCUCCCCGAAAGCUAUUUAGGUAGCGCCUCGUGAAUUCAUCUCCGGGGGUAGAGCACUGUUUCGGCAAGGGGGUCAUCCCGACUUACCAACCCGAUGCAAACUGCGAAUACCGGAGAAUGUUAUCACGGGAGACACACGGCGGGUGCUAACGUCCGUCGUGAAGAGGGAAACAACCCAGACCGCCAGCUAAGGUCCCAAAGUCAUGGUUAAGUGGGAAACGAUGUGGGAAGGCCCAGACAGCCAGGAUGUUGGCUUAGAAGCAGCCAUCAUUUAAAGAAAGCGUAAUAGCUCACUGGUCGAGUCGGCCUGCGCGGAAGAUGUAACGGGGCUAAACCAUGCACCGAAGCUGCGGCAGCGACACUAUGUGUUGUUGGGUAGGGGAGCGUUCUGUAAGCCUGUGAAGGUGGCCUGUGAGGGUUGCUGGAGGUAUCAGAAGUGCGAAUGCUGACAUAAGUAACGAUAAAGCGGGUGAAAAGCCCGCUCGCCGGAAGACCAAGGGUUCCUGUCCAACGUUAAUCGGGGCAGGGUGAGUCGACCCCUAAGGCGAGGCCGAAAGGCGUAGUCGAUGGGAAACAGGUUAAUAUUCCUGUACUUGGUGUUACUGCGAAGGGGGGACGGAGAAGGCUAUGUUGGCCGGGCGACGGUUGUCCCGGUUUAAGCGUGUAGGCUGGUUUUCCAGGCAAAUCCGGAAAAUCAAGGCUGAGGCGUGAUGACGAGGCACUACGGUGCUGAAGCAACAAAUGCCCUGCUUCCAGGAAAAGCCUCUAAGCAUCAGGUAACAUCAAAUCGUACCCCAAACCGACACAGGUGGUCAGGUAGAGAAUACCAAGGCGCUUGAGAGAACUCGGGUGAAGGAACUAGGCAAAAUGGUGCCGUAACUUCGGGAGAAGGCACGCUGAUAUGUAGGUGAAGCGACUUGCUCGUGGAGCUGAAAUCAGUCGAAGAUACCAGCUGGCUGCAACUGUUUAUUAAAAACACAGCACUGUGCAAACACGAAAGUGGACGUAUACGGUGUGACGCCUGCCCGGUGCCGGAAGGUUAAUUGAUGGGGUUAGCGGUAACGCGAAGCUCUUGAUCGAAGCCCCGGUAAACGGCGGCCGUAACUAUAACGGUCCUAAGGUAGCGAAAUUCCUUGUCGGGUAAGUUCCGACCUGCACGAAUGGCGUAAUGAUGGCCAGGCUGUCUCCACCCGAGACUCAGUGAAAUUGAACUCGCUGUGAAGAUGCAGUGUACCCGCGGCAAGACGGAAAGACCCCGUGAACCUUUACUAUAGCUUGACACUGAACAUUGAGCCUUGAUGUGUAGGAUAGGUGGGAGGCUUUGAAGUGUGGACGCCAGUCUGCAUGGAGCCGACCUUGAAAUACCACCCUUUA